GACGAACGCUGGCGGCGUGCCUAAUACAUGCAAGUCGAGCGGACCAAAGGGAGCUUGCUCCUGGAGGUUAGCGGCGAACGGGUGAGUAACACGUGGGCAACCUGCCUGUAAGACUGGGAUAACAUCGAGAAAUCGGUGCUAAUACCGGAUAAUAAAAAGAACUGCAUGGUUCUUUUUGAAAGAUGGUUUCGGCUAUCACUUACAGAUGGGCCCGCGGCGCAUUAGCUAGUUGGUGAGGUAACGGCCCACCAAGGCGACGAUGCGUAGCCGACCUGAGAGGGUGAUCGGCCACACUGGGACUGAGACACGGCCCAGACUCCUACGGGAGGCAGCAGUAGGGAAUCUUCCGCAAUGGACGAAAGUCUGACGGAGCAACGCCGCGUGAGUGAUGAAGGUUUUCGGAUCGUAAAACUCUGUUGUUAGGGAAGAACAAGUGCCGUUCGAAAGGGCGGCACCUUGACGGUACCUAACGAGAAAGCCACGGCUAACUACGUGCCAGCAGCCGCGGUAAAGUA
rnacentral:rRNA from 1 species